UACGUAGGAUGCAAGCGUUGUCCGGAAUUAUUGGGCGUAAAGCGCGCGCAGGCGGUUUCUUAAGUCUGAUGUGAAAGCCCCCGGCUCAACCGGGGAGGGUCAUUGGAAACUGGGAAACUUGAGUGCAGAAGAGAAGAGCGGAAUUCCACGUGUAGCGGUGAAAUGCGUAGAGAUGUGGAGGAACACCAGUGGCGAAGGCGGCUCUUUGGUCUGUAACUGACGCUGAGGCGCGAAAGCGUGGGGAGCAAACAGG
rnacentral:rRNA from 1 species